GCCGGAGUGGCGGAAUUGGCAGACGCGCUGCGUUCAGGGCGCAGUGGCCGUACGGUCGUGUGGGUUCAACUCCCACCUCCGGCA
rnacentral:tRNA from 1 species